rnacentral:tRNA from 3 species
GUGCUCGUAGCGAAGUUGGAUAUCGCAUCAGACUCCGACUCUGAAGGCCAUGGGUUCGAAUCCCAUCGGGCACA